CUCACCUGACCUCAGCCGGGGGGAAAGAGUCACACUCACAGCUCUUAUUCCUCCUGUAAAAACAGUCGAGUUCCAUGUGGGAUCGGCCAUGUCUGUGGAGGGGUUGCCUGCCCCUGCACCUGCGUGCAGAGAACAUGCCUCAUUGGCUCCUGGGUCACAACUCAAGGGGAUGGACAAGGAGGUUGUCAUACUACAUUGAACAAACUCCUCCAUGAACAGAGCAAAGACCUCCAGAAGCUCCUGCCAAUAAAAAUGGAGAUGCCCUGUUUUUUAAACUGAGCCACUAGUCUAGGUGGGAAGACCAGAACUUUAGGAAGGUCUGAGUUCAAGGAUGCUGGGUGCUGUAUUAGGACUGGGUGAAG